GACGAACGCUGGCGGCGCGCUUAAUACAUGCAAGUCGAGCGAGAACCUGGGCUUCGGCCCAGGGGAAAGCGGCGAACGGGUGAGUAACACGUGGGUAAUCUGCCCUCGGCACCGGGAUAGCCCGGGGAAACCCGGAUUAAUACCGGACGGCCUCUCGAGCCCUCGGGCUCGUGAGAAAAGGUAGCUUCGGCCUCCGGCCGAGGAGGAGCCCGCGGCGGAUUAGCUUGUUGGCGGGGUAACGGCCAACCAAGGCGACGAUCCGUAGCUGGUCUGAGAGGACGAUCAGCCACACUGGGACUGAGACACGGCCCAGACUCCUACGGGAGGCAGCAGUAGGGAAUCUUGCGCAAUGGGCGAAAGCCUGACGCAGCGACGCCGCGUGCGGGAAGAAGGCCCUCGGGUUGUAAACCGCUUUCAGGAGGGAAGAAGCCACUCGGGUUAAUAGCCCAGAGGGUGACGGUACCUCCAGAAGAAGCCCCGGCUAACUACGUGCCAGCAGCCGCAGUAACAC
rnacentral:rRNA from 1 species